GAUGAACGCUGGCGGCGUGCCUAAUACAUGCAAGUCGAGCGAGGUUCUUCGGAACCUAGCGGCGGACGGGUGAGUAACACGUGGGUAACCUGCCUGUAAGACUGGGAUAACUUCGGGAAACCGAAGCUAAUACCGGAUACUUUCGAGCAUCGCAUGAUGCUUGAUGGAAAGACGGCUUCGGCUGUCACUUACAGAUGGACCCGCGUCGCAUUAGCUAGUUGGUGAGGUAACGGCUCACCAAGGCGACGAUGCGUAGCCGACCUGAGAGGGUGAUCGGCCACACUGGGACUGAGACACGGCCCAGACUCCUACGGGAGGCAGCAGUAGGGAAUCUUCGGCAAUGGGCGAAAGCCUGACCGAGCAACGCCGCGUGAGCGAUGAAGGCCUUCGGGUCGUAAAGCUCUGUUGUUAAGGAAGAACAAGUACGAGAGUAACUGCUCGUACCUUGACGGUACUUAACGAGAAAGCCACGGCUAACUACGUGCCAGCCGCCGCCGUAACAC
rnacentral:rRNA from 1 species